rnacentral:rRNA from 1 species
UACGUAGGGUGCAAGCGUUGUCCGGAAUUAUUGGGCGUAAAGAGCUCGUAGGCGGUCUGUCGCGUCUGCUGUGAAGACUCGGGGCUUAACCCCGGGCCUGCAGUGGGUACGGGCAGACUAGAGUGCGGUAGGGGAGACUGGAAUUCCUGGUGUAGCGGUGAAAUGCGCAGAUAUCAGGAGGAACACCGGUGGCGAAGGCGGGUCUCUGGGCCGUAACUGACGCUGAGGAGCGAAAGCGUGGGGAGCGAACAGG